GACCCGCACAAGCGGUGGAUGAUGUGGAUUAAUUCGAUGCAACGCGAAAAACCUUACCUACCCUUGACAUGCCAGGAACUUGUGAGAGAUCACUUGGUGCCUUCGGGAGCCUGGACACAGGUGCUGCAUGGCUGUCGUCAGCUCGUGUCGUGAGAUGUUGGGUUAAGUCCCGCAACGAGCGCAACCCUUGCCACUAAUUGCCAUCAUUGAGUUGGGCACUUUAGUGGGACUGCCGGUGACAAACCGGAGGAAGGUGGGGAUGACGUCAAGUCCUCAUGGCCCUUAUGGGGUAGGGGCUUCACACGUCAUACAAUGGGUCGGGUACAGAGGGUUGCCAAGCCGCGAGGUGGAGCCAAUCCCAGAAAGCCGAUCGUAGUCCGGAUCGCAGUCUGCAACUCGACUGCGUGAAGUCGGAAUCGCUAGUAAUCGCGGAUCAGCAUGUCGCGGUGAAUACGUUCCCGGGUCUUGCACACACCGCCCGU
rnacentral:rRNA from 1 species